AUUAGCCCAGCUGGCAGAGCACCUGACUUUUAAUCAGGGAGUCCAGGGUUCGAAUCCCUGAU
rnacentral:tRNA from 1 species